UAUUUAUAUAGUAUAAAAGUAUAUAUGACUUCCAAUCAUAAGGUCUAUAAAUAUAAUAGUAUAAAUAA
rnacentral:tRNA from 1 species